AUUGAACGCUGGCGGAAUGCUUUACACAUGCAAGUCGAACGGCAGCACGGACUUCGGUCUGGUGGCGAGUGGCGAACGGGUGAGUAAUGUAUCGGAACGUGCCCAGUCGUGGGGGAUAACGUAGUGAAAAUUACGCUAAUACCGCAUACGAUCUAUGGAUGAAAGCGGGGGAUCGCAAGACCUCGCGCGAUUGGAGCGGCCGAUAUCAGAUUAGGUAGUUGGUGGGGUAAAGGCCCACCAAGCCAACGAUCUGUAGCUGUUCUGAGAGGACGACCAGCCACACUGGAACUGAGACACGGUCCAGACUCCUACGGGAGGCAGCAGUGGGGAAUUUUGGACAAUGGUCGAAAGCCUGAUCCAGCCAUUCCGCGUGCAGGAUGAAGGCCCUCGGGUUGUAAACUGCUUUUGUACAGAACGAAAAGGUUUCUACUAAUACUAGGAGCUCAUGACGGUACUGUAAGAAUAAGCACCGGCUAACUACGUGCCAGCCGCCGCAGUAA
rnacentral:rRNA from 1 species